rnacentral:lncRNA from 12 species
AAAAAAAACUUCCCCCGAAAAAAAAGCUGCGUGGUGGGUGAGCAAAAGCAAACGAAUCGGUUUUCUUCGUUGAUACCGGAAGCAGAAGAACCGGGUUGCGGGACGGGCCCGUGGACCGCGGAAAAAACAGCCAACUUUUACGCACGGAAACUUUCGGGGGGUCGGUUCUGUCUCUUUCAGCAGGUACCAAAAAAAAAAAAAAAACUUGCGCUUUCAAAUGAAUCCUUAGCGGCCGGAGAAGAUUCAGCACGACCGUUCCUCCGUUCACCGAAGCUCUCCGCUACAGAUCCCUCCCGGUUCGAGCGUCUCUCCCGUCUCUUGAGUCGAGAUAGCGCCGCGCGACAGCAACUUUGUGCCUCCGCAGUUUCAGCUCACGGACUCUGGGCGAACUGGUGCUCAAUCUCCAUCCAUACCACUGGAGACCUCCUCAGGGUGAUCUCCAUGACCUCCUCCUCCUCCUCACUGCACGGAUACACGAUCAAUUAUUACGGAGAGGACGUCAUUUCGUGCAAAGUGGAUAUUGCGGAAUUCAGGGCUACUCAGAGCUGAAAAGCAUGAAGCUCAGAUUCAGCUAAGCAACGGCCGGGGCCAGGAAUGCUGACCUUGGCGGGUGAACCGGGCCAACGACUGAGGUAGUGCACAGCUAUAAUCACACAUCCCUCAACCUAAAGCAAAAGAAGCAUUUGAGCCAUGAAUAUGCCAUUAACCAUUACACCACCUCUCCCGUUACUGUGCAGGUCCAAACAUCUACUCUAUAUUACUUUACAUGCUUUAAAAUUACACUGUCCAUGUUACAGUGCAUAAUCAACACCAUGUACUUCAUACGCCAAGCAUCUUUCACCUUAUUGAUAAUAAAAUCCCAUAGACUUUCAUUGAAGGAGGGAUCUGAACCGAAUUUAGAGAUUAGAAUAUAAAAAUCAAUUUAUCCUCACAAUUGUACUGUACUUUGAAAAUGGGCGAUGUAAUAUAAAUACAGAUAUUGUAACUUAAAAUAUAGAAAGAAAAGUAGUUGAAGGAAAAAUUCGCAAUCAAAACAUUUAUUUCUUAAUGUUGUAACAAUUAAUUUUAAUAAUUGGAUUACCAAACCAAUUAGGUUUGAAAUCUUGACACUGUAAGAGAAAUCCAUGUAAAAGAAUGACAUACACAAAUAAAAAAAUAAAUAAAAUAAAAACAGCACAUGUAAAGCCUGCCACCAACAUUAGCAGGCUGACUGAAUAUAAAAAUCAAUUUAUCAUCACUAUAGUGAUGAAUCAUAUUGUACAUGCAAAAUAGACAAUAUGAUAUGGUCAUUGUAAAAUGAAAUAAAUAAAUAAAGAA